GGAGAAAAGCAGGGGAUCGCAAGACCUUGCGCUUUUGGAGCGGCCGAUGCCUGAUUAGCUUGUUGGUGAGGUAAAAGCUCACCAAGGCUCCGAUCAGUAGCUGGUCUGAGAGGACGACCAGCCACACUGGGACUGAGACACGGCCCAGACUCCUACGGGAGGCAGCAGUGGGGAAUUUUGGACAAUGGGGGCAACCCUGAUCCAGCCAUGCCGCGUGAGUGAAGAAGGCCUUCGGGUUGUAAAGCUCUUUCAGCCGGAACGAAACGGUCACGGUUAAUACCCGUGACUACUGACGGUACCGGAAGAAGAAGCACCGGCUAACUACGUGCCAGCAGCCGCGGUAAUACGUAGGGUGCGAGCGUUAAUCGGAAUUACUGGGCGUAAAGCGUGCGCAGGUGGUUUUGUAAGUCAGAUGUGAAAUCCCCGGGCUUAACCUGGGAACUGCGUUUGAAACUACAAAGCUAG
rnacentral:rRNA from 1 species